UGCAGUGUUUUCGGGGGCAGCACAAAACAUUCCUUCGAGAAGAGAGAACUCAUAAUCUCUUACCUGGAAUGGCUUCAGAACGGAGGCUGACAGGCCCCUAAACCACGCGCUGGUUUCCAGCCGGCCGCUCUUCCCCGACGAAACGCUGACAGGCGCACGAAGCCUCCCCGCUCCUGCUGUCUGAUACGGCCGACACCUCUUCUCGGCAGCGUGGUCCGGAUCUCUUGCUAACGAACAGAUGCUGGAUUUUUGCCAAGCGCUUUUCCCCCUGAAGCUCCUGGAACCAUCACGCAGAUUGUCCCCCGUGGUCCGUGGUCUGUGGAUCCACUAACUGACAGACGACCAUCGAACCAGCCCUGCAUUCCUGGGCAACGCUCAUGACUGCUUCCUGACAUACUGUGUGGAUCAAACGUCCAGGACUGUGUGAAAUGGCACUGGUGCCAGCGGACAUCCUGCUUUAGUCUUCACUUGGGAACAAUCGUAGAGUUUAUCUGGU